rnacentral:rRNA from 1 species
UACUAAUCCCUCAAUUUAUCAACAACCCUCAAACAAUAUUGAGUAAUUCUAUAUACAUAUAGAAAAUUUUAUGUUAAUACUAGUAACAAGAAGAAGCACUUCUAUUAUAAUGCAAGCAUAAAUCAGACAGGACACACCACUGAUAAUUAACAUAAAUGAACGUAAAGUAGUAACUUAACAAGAAAAUUCUACUCACAUUAUAUGUUAACCUAACACUAGAGCAUUACAAAAAAGAUUAAAAGAAAGAGAAGGAACUCGGCAAAUAUUAACCUCGCCUGUUUACCAAAAACAUCGCCUCUUGACAUGUUAUAAGAGGUCCAGCCUGCCCAGUGACUCUGUUCAACGGCCGCGGUAUCCUAACCGUGCGAAGGUAGCGUAAUCACUUGUUCUUUAAAUGAGGACUAGUAUGAAUGGCACCACGAGGGUUAUACUGUCUCCUCUUUCUAAUCAGUGAAAUUAAUCUCCCCGUGAAGAAGCGAGGAUUAAGCUAUAAGACGAGAAGACCCUAUGGAGCUUUAAACAAAGUUACACCUGCAUCAAUUUAAUACAAAUUUCAGAAAAUCUUCUUAGCCCAUGCAAAUUGUUUACUAGUUUUAGGUUGGGGUGACCGCGGAGCAAAAAGUAACCUCCACAUUGAAAGGAGCCUAAUCCUUAGCUAAGAGCCACACCUCCAAGCACCAAUAAAAUGACAUCAAUUGACCCAAUAAUUUGAUCAACGAACCAAGUUACCCUAGGGAUAACAGCGCAAUCCAUUUCAAGAGCCCCUAUCGACAAAUGGGUUUACGACCUCGAUGUUGGAUCAGGGUAUCCCAGUGGUGCAGCCGCUACUAAAGGUUCGUU